AUAAAAAUAAAGAAGAUGAUGGGGAAGUUCCCGGGAAUAUGAAUACCAUCAUCAUCUUUGACCUGAAGUCUGUUCACUGAAGUUCCUGUCAUGUUAAUUCUGUCCAGCCUUCAGGUUCAAGUUUGACUUUAGAGCCAAGAUGGAGGAAGUUGGUGAAGACAAGAUCCAAGUGAGAUCAUGGACAGAAGUCACAGGGUUGCUGGAGCCUAUCCCCACCACUGUUGGGUUAAGGCGGAGUUCCCCUUGAUUUGGUCACCAUUCUGUUGCAGUCCCACACACCAGGGGCCAAUUUUGAGACAUGAUUUAAGAUCUUAAGUAUAUUUUUGACUGAACAAUUUCCACACAUAAAGAAUCUAGCCAGGAUUUGAACCAGGACUUUCUCACUGUGAAGGGGGAUUGGUAACCACCGAAUUUCACCCAUUUACAGUUUAUUUUAUUUUUUGCUAUAUAAAAAAAUUUCUUACUCAUUUCCGUAAGAGAAAAACAGCUGAUCGGGAUCAGUUUCUCUCAUUUAUAUACAUUUUCUUCUUGGCCAUCAAUAACACCAUCAGUUUUUUUGCAGUCUAAAAUGUUUCACUUGAAAGUAUUUAAAUCAAAAUCCAGAGAACAAGCAGUUUGUUCCAUGUGAGGAUCAAACAUUUGAAUUUAUGAUUAGGUUUAAAAGGUGUUUUAGUUCUGGGCUCUGCAAUGCAAAACAUCCAAACUGAACAAAGGAAUAAAUUCAUCUGAUAAUGAAACAGCCUUCAGGUUCCUCCUUGUUCUCUGCAUAUAAGAUAUAUUAAACAAUAAAUAUCUGACAAACUUGGUGAUUCCAUAAUGCCACAUGUAUGUGCUUUUUAUUGGCUUCUUUAAAUUCAUCUCCAAAUAAUCUAGAAUUAAAACUGUUGAAACAGGAAAACCAUUUUCAGUUGUUUUAUUCUUGCUUGCAUUUUCAAACAGGUUUAACAGAAAAGUUCAUCCACAAAAAGAACAUGUUUCUAAGAGUGUAAAGAUGGCAAAAUAACACAAAUAUUCCAGUAAGAAGGUAAAAAAAAAAAAA